rnacentral:rRNA from 1 species
CCUACGGGCGGCAGCAGUGAGGAAUAUUGGUCAAUGGGCGAGAGCCUGAACCAGCCAAGUCGCGUGAGGGAGUACUGCCCUAUGGGUUGUAAACCUCUUUUGUCGGGGAGCAAAAGCCGGACGUGUCCGGCUGUGAGAGUACCCGAAGAAAAAGCAUCGGCUAACUCCGUGCCAGCAGCCGCGGUAAUACGGAGGAUGCGAGCGUUAUCCGGAUUUAUUGGGUUUAAAGGGUGCGCAGGCGGAUUUUUAAGUCAGCGGUAAAAUCGUGGGGCUCAACCCCAUCCAGCCGUUGAAACUGGGGAUCUAGAGUGUGCGAGAGGUAUGCAGAAUGCGUGGUGUAGCGGUGAAAUGCAUAGAUAUCACGCAGAACCCCGAUUGCGAAGGCAGCAUACCGGUGCACAACUGACGCUCAGGCACGAAAGCGUGGGUAUCGAACAGGAUUAGAUACCCCUGUAGUC